rnacentral:lncRNA from 1 species
AUACUCUGUCCACGAGCCUAGUUGAUGGAGCGUUCCUGUGGCCAAAGUUGAAGGGUCUCAACGUAAGGACUGCCAAGUGUGUGCCAAUGCCUCUUCCUCAGGCUUCUAGAGCCACCUGUCUUCUGGCUUUGAGAGUUUAACGAAAGAGGAAAAACCCUCUCCUUGAAGAAUUCACGUUUUCUCACACCUACAAAAUGGGACGUGAUUUCAAGAGAUUCACAAACCUCUUGAAGCCCCUGAGGACCCUUGAGGAAUCUGUGGACCCUGGUUGAGAACCUCUGGUCUAUACAGUCAAAAAUGAAAUGGGAGAACUGCUUGCUGAAAUUGGACAGUGACAAUUGUCUACUAAUUCUGCAGUACAUUUUGGGAGGUCAGAGUAAACCUGAAUUACAUUCGCCGUGUAGUUGCUCAAGCCUCUGCUAUGGCAUUGAUUCAGUGGGUGGACCUCAGCUUUCCCAAUGCCCACACCUCCAUGCCAACCCAAACAUACGCGAAGGUUCUAGAGAGAGGAGGAAGAGGAGCAGGAAAUCAUUUAAGACUUUUCAUUUUUCAAAGCUUUGCUGGGAUACCUACCCUUGA